UCCUCAAACUCACUCCCACUGCAUGAGAAGAAAGGAACCCCAGCUUCUCCAGCAAUAGCUCUAGCUAACAUAGUCUUACCAGUGCCAGGAGGGCCAACAAGUAGAACACCUUUUGGAAGCUUACCACCUAGACGAGUGAAGCGCUUUGGAUCUCGAAGAUAAUGGACAAUUUCCUCUAGCUCCGCCUUUGCCUCAUCAACACCCUUUACAUCACUAAAUUUGGUGUUAGAUUCCAUGCUAGGUUGCACCUCUUCAUGUAGGCCAAGUCCUUUACUGAUUCCUCUGUCCUCAAUAAGUGCCCCUACACCAGAAAUCAACAGAAAGGCCAGGGCAAUGGUACGAAUAGUACGCCAGAGCUGCUCUUUAAAAUGCCCUCCUUCUGUGGCCACCAUAUGAAUGGGUGCAUUAGCAGUUCCAAGAACAAAAUCUUUCGUCGGUUUUCCCACGUUCUUGAAAGCAGAAAGACCCCCUAUACUUUCUUCCUCCCUCAUAGAAUUAGCAAUGCCUCUCUGCAAUGUCUUGAGCAACUCACUUUCAUCCAGCCUAUCAACUCUGACUAAUGCCUUGAUAUAUUCAGAAAGCGCUGAAGUGUUACUAUGUAAUGAUGGCUGACUUUCAAAUAGUCUUAUUACCGCUUCGGGAUCAUUUCGGUGGUACAGUUCUUUAAGAUGUGCAACUUCACUAGCUUCAUCUGUAUCACGCACUCUGCGAGCUAAAUUACCGGCAUAGCUCGACUUAAAUCUCCUUUCAGCAUUUAAAAGUCCAUUCACUGCAUCACCUCCACGCUUGAUAACAGGAAAGUAGGACCUGACAAACAAAUUUUUGUACAGUCCUGAUUCUGAUUGAUGAUUAGGUGCCUCCAAGCCAUGACCUGGUUAGGGCCCAAAGAGGUCUGAUCCUCUAUGCGUUGUUAGCUCCUGUGAGUGUCAGAAGAUUCGGGUACGUUUGGAUAGCGAGAAAAGGAAGGAAAAUGAUAAGGUGUGAGGGUGCAAGGAGAGAGAGAAGUGGAGAGGUAGGCUAUGGAAUUGUGCAGUGGGAAAG
rnacentral:misc_RNA from 1 species